rnacentral:lncRNA from 1 species
AAACAAACAAUGUGUGCUUCAUCUUGCUUAGUUGUAUUCAAAAGAGAAUGCAAACCAGGCCCAAGCCCAGUGUUGGAAUAAAGAUCAACAUUAAUCAUCACUGAUAUGUCCCAAUUAUUUUCUUAUUACACUAUGAUAUCAGUUCAAACUAAUAGAUGAUAAUACAUUUAUACAUCCAACUCUCAACAUUAUUCAUCAAUCUAUGUAUGUAUUUUACGUACUUGUAAUAUUGUGUGUUACAAAUCAAGCAGUACUAUCUCUUGCAUGGAGGCAGAGGAGAACCACAGAGACGAUCAUUUCCUAUAAAUGAUUCAACUGGGAACUUUGUUCUUGUUGUUGGAAUUGGCCCACUCAGUUGAUUGUAUGACAGGUCAAGCUCGUCAAGCUUUUGAAAAUUCUUAAGGUAAUCAGGGAUUCUACCAGUUAAAGCGUUAUGGCUAGCCCUGAAAACUUGAAGUUGUGGUGCCAAGAAUGAAAAUGAAGGUGGAAUCUCACCAGAGAGUUUGUUGUAGGAAAGAUACAACUCUCUAAGAGCAAGUGACUUGAAAAAAUCUGGAAUCUUGCCAGAAAGUUGAUUGUUCUGGAGUCUCAAAUAUGUCAUAUUUCUCAAAUGCCGAAUACCAUAAGGAAUCCCACCAGAAAUUUUGUUGUCAUCAAGAUCAAGCUCAAGUAAGUGAGUGAAUUGAGAAAUAGAGUUUGGAAUUGAACCUGUGAAUUGGUUACCAUAUAGAUUCAAUAAUUGAAACCGAUCAGAUUUUGGGCCUAUAUCAAUAUGAAGUUGACCAGAAAGUUUGUUGUUUCUUAUGAAAACAAACUGUAGCCUUGGAAGAUUGAAUAUUUCUUUCGGUAGAGUGCCGGUAAUGUUUGUAUAUUGAAUGGAUAUAUGGCUUAACCGCAGAACUUUAAUGAAUAGUGAAGGGGAAAUUGUGCCUGUUAAGAAGCUACUUGUAUUAGUAGAAUCUCCAUAAAGGGAUAAUUCGGUGACUCGGUCUGUAUUGAUGCAGUAUAUGCCGGACCAACUGCAACAAUCUGUAUCGGGUAUCCAUGAGCUAAGCAUGCCCGAUGGAUCUUGAGUCAUUCCCGAUUUGAAUGCUAGUAGACCAGCUUCAUCAUCCACAUGGCAUUUUGCAAAGCAAAGUGGAGAUAAAACUGUGAGCAAGAGAACAAGUACUAGAGCAAGAUGAUGAGUAGUAGAAGUGAAAGCCAAUGCCAUAACGAAAUGAUAAGUUAGUUGACAUGGUAUUAAGCCGUGAGAAGAGUUUGUUUAUAUAAGGUUCUUUUGUGUUUCCAGAAGAGUUUGAAUGUCUUAGGUGGACAUCAACUUGGGGCAAAUACAUACAGGACUAAUCCGCCGUUAAAUAAGAAUAAGAAAUUUAUUUCGUUUAAUCUUCUUGUUCAAUGGUACAUAAUUUGAUAUUUAUAAGUCAAGUUCGAUGGCUUUGUGGAGAAGAUUGCAAAAUGAAAUAAAGGAAAGAGUACACGAAGACAGGUAUAAAUGGAUAAAUGCCAUGACCAUAGGAAUAUGGGAUGACGGGAAUUCAAUAUAUUGUCCAACAAGUGGGGAUAACCGGAUAAGGAUAUAAGGUAGGUGUGAGUAGGAAAAUUUUCCUUGAUCUCCAUUGAACUGGUCCCUGCCCAUUAACGGAAUCAAUAUUCAAUAGCCUGCAUUUAAUUUCUUUUGUCAGUUCUAAACCCCUGUGAAUAGCUUCAGGUUCCACACAUAACAUUAUAAAAAAAAAACCAGCGAUACAAGUCCAAGCAAACAGAGUAAAUAACCAAGAUCAAAUUGAAACAGAAUUUGGGCAGGGGGUGAGGCUCUCAACAUAAUGUAGGAAAGUACAAGUCACUUGUUGCCUGAGCUUGAAAGAUGUCACUUGUUACCAUUUUUGUGGAAAUGCUAUGAGGUUCAUACUGUAUAACUUCUGCUAUUCUCCUAUGUUUAGGUCCCUCAGAACCCAAAUAUCCCAUUGACAUAACUCACGACUUUGUGCCUCCAUAUUUGGUGCCACAAGAGAUAGACAACAUUCUAUUUCAUGUAAUACAUCCAUUAUAGAGAACCAGAAUGUAGGGACGUCUGACUUGUAAAACUUCUCCCCAGCAGUGUCAAAAGAAAUAAAAGUUACUUGAAGAAAUAAUAGUCCAAGAUUGUAACAUAUCAUUUUCAUAGUAAGCACCACAAAUAAAAUGAAAGACUCCGUUGAUGAUAACAGAAUAUGUCACGACAUACCGGUGAAGUAAGCGCUUGAAAGGCGAAUGUAUCCAUUUCCAUUUACCAAAAGUAGACCAAGAGUAAGCAUUUCACAUUUCAAGGAUCCAGUUUCGUUAAAAAUAUAUUCUUCAGUAGAACCAAGGAAUGUGAUACCGCGCAUAAUAUCUAUAAUUUUGGGCUAUUGAGUACAAGGAGGCAAUUCGACACACUGAUUAGUAACAGGAUUAACAACUAUUAGACGUCCCACACUCGGCAUAUCGUCUAGUAAUAGUAAGCCAUGCAGCUACUUUUCACAAUUUUUUGCAUUUUAAUUUGAAUUGACUAACACUAAAACUCCUGACAUUAUCAAAUUGUAUAUUAUCAAGGUCAACAUAUCUGUACUCAUUACCUGCCUGACUGCCUCUGAUAGGAAAGCAGUUCUUGAUAUGGCAAGAACACCAGGAAUUGAUUGACGAAGGUGAGCAUCUAUAAAUCUGGAACUAUUGAUCAACUCAAACCAUUGUUUGCAAAUAUACCUCAUUCUUUGUAUUUUCUGCGCACAGCACAACGGGGUCGGCAUCGGACACCCACAAGGCAAGGUUAUCUCGUGUUUUAGACAGGAAUCAGGGGCUGAAGCAUCAUGAGCAUGUCAAAUAUGAUAUUCUCGUACAGAUAUGGAAUAAUUAAAUCACCGUUCUUGUGCUCGCAAAUGGUCUUGCUUAGAAGACCUUUGUGAUUUUCCAUCUUUAGCUAAUAUGAAAUUUGCUACCUAAAUAAAAAGAAAAAAAUAAUAAUUAAGGAAUAUGAGAGGUUAUUUAAUCAUAGGAGCUGAUACAUAUCCACUAUAUUUUGCAAUGGCAAUGGCAGGGGAGCAUAUCAGCAGUCAAGUUGUUCCAUCGGAUCAUGGGUUGGCAAUGGCAGGGGAGCAUAUCAGCAGUCAAGUUGUUCCAUCGGAUCAUGGGUUGGCAAUGGCAGGGGAGCAUAUCAGCAGUCAGUUUAUUAGUAUAUAUCUUAUUCUCAAAUUAUGAAGUGUGGUUUGUUAGCAUUUCAAAAAAAAAAAAACUAGGUCUCCAUUGUAAAAAUAUUGGCAUGAAGAUCAACAUUAUUCAUCCAUAUCUGAAUUAUUUUCUUAUUACACUGUAAUACCAGUUCAAACUAAUAAAUAAUACAUCCAAGCAAUUAUCAACAUUAUUCAUCAAUGUAUUGACUGUGCUACAAAUCAAACUAAUACUACUUCUUGCAUGGAGACAAAGGAAAACCACAGAGACGAUCAUUUCCUAUAAAUGAUUCAACUGGGAACUUUGUUGUUGGAAUUGGACCACUUAGUCGAUUGUACGACAGGUCAAGCUCGUCGAGCGUUUGGAAAUUCCUGAGGUAAUCAGGGAUUCUGCCAGUUAAAGCGUUAUGGCUAGCCCUGAAAAAUUGAAGUUCUGGUGCCAAGAAUGAAAAUGAAGGUGGAAUCCCACCAGAGAGUUUGUUGUAUGAAAGAUCAAAAUCUCUAAGAACAAGUGACUUGAAAAUAUCUGGAAUCCCACCGGAAAGUUGAUUGUUCUG